rnacentral:rRNA from 1 species
GUGAACUCGAAGAGUAGGGCGGGACACGUGGUAUCCUGUCUGAAUAUGGGGGGACCAUCCUCCAAGGCUAAAUACUCCUGACUGACCGAUAGUGAACCAGUACCGUGAGGGAAAGGCGAAAAGAACCCCGGCGAGGGGAGUGAAAAAGAACCUGAAACCGUGUACGUACAAGCAGUGGGAGCACCUUCGGGUGUGACUGCGUACCUUUUGUAUAAUGGGUCAGCGACUUAUAUUCUGUAGCAAGGUUAACCGUAUAGGGGAGCCGCAGGGAAACCGAGUCUUAACUGGGCGUUAAGUUGCAGGGUAUAGACCCGAAACCCGGUGAUCUAGCCAUGGGCAGGUUGAAGGUUGGGUAACACUAACUGGAGGACCGAACCGACUAAUGUUGAAAAAUUAGCGGAUGACUUGUGGCUGGGGGUGAAAGGCCAAUCAAACCGGGAGAUAGCUGGUUCUCCCCGAAAGCUAUUUAGGUAGCGCCUCGUGAACUCAUCUUCGGGGGUAGAGCACUGUUUCGGCUAGGGGGUCAUCCCGACUUACCAACCCGAUGCAAACUACGAAUACCGAAGAAUGUUAUCACGGGAGACACACGGCGGGUGCUAACGUCCGUCGUGAAGAGGGAAACAACCCAGACCGCCAGCUAAGGUCCCAAAGUCAUGGUUAAGUGGGAAACGAUGUGGGAAGGCACAGACAGCCAGGAUGUUGGCUUAGAAGCAGCCAUCAUUUAAAGAAAGCGUAAUAGCUCACUGGUCGAGUCGGCCUGCGCGGAAGAUGUAACGGGGCUAAACCAUGCACCGAAGCUGCGGCAGCGACACUAUGUGUUGUUGGGUAGGGGAGCGUUCUGUAAGCCUGCGAAGGUGUGCUGUGAGGCAUGCUGGAGGUAUCAGAAGUGCGAAUGCUGACAUAAGUAACGAUAAAGCGGGUGAAAAGCCCGCUCGCCGGAAGACCAAGGGUUCCUGUCCAACGUUAAUCGGGGCAGGGUGAGUCGACCCCUAAGGCGAGGCCGAAAGGCGUAGUCGAUGGGAAACAGGUUAAUAUUCCUGUACUUGGUGUUACUGCGAAGGGGGGACGGAGAAGGCUAUGUUAGCCGGGCGACGGUUGUCCCGGUUUAAGCAUGUAGGCUGAUUGUCCAGGCAAAUCCGGAUAAUCAAGGCUGAGGUGUGAUGACGAGGCACUACGGUGCUGAAGUAACAAAUGCCCUGCUUCCAGGAAAAGCCUCUAAGCAUCAGGUAACAUUAAAUCGUACCCCAAACCGACACAGGUGGUCAGGUAGAGAAUACCAAGGCGCUUGAGAGAACUCGGGUGAAGGAACUAGGCAAAAUGGUGCCGUAACUUCGGGAGAAGGCACGCUGGUGUGUAGGUGAAGUCCCUGCGGAUGGAGCUGAGACCAGUCGAAGAUACCAGCUGGCUGCAACUGUUUAUUAAAAACACAGCACUGUGCAAACACGAAAGUGGACGUAUACGGUGUGACGCCUGCCCGGUGCCGGAAGGUUAAUUGAUGGGGUUAUCCGUAAGGAGAAGCUCUUGAUCGAAGCCCCGGUAAACGGCGGCCGUAACUAUAACGGUCCUAAGGUAGCGAAAUUCCUUGUCGGGUAAGUUCCGACCUGCACGAAUGGCGUAAUGAUGGCCAGGCUGUCUCCACCCGAGACUCAGUGAAAUUGAACUCGCUGUGAAGAUGCAGUGUACCCGCGGCAAGACGGAAAGACCCCGUGAACCUUUACUAUAGCUUGACACUGAACAUUGAGCCUUGAUGUGUAGGAUAGGUGGGAGGCUUUGAAGCGUGGACGCCAGUCUGCGUGGAGCCAACCUUGAAAUACCACCCUUUAAUGUUUGAUGUUCUAACGUUGGCCCCU